rnacentral:tRNA from 1 species
GAGGGCAUAGCUCAAGUGGUAGAGCGCAUGCUUAGCAUGCAUGAGGUCCUGGGUUCAAUCCCCAGUACCUCCA